UACGGAGGGGGUUAGCGUUGUUCGGAAUUACUGGGCGUAAAGCGCGCGUAGGCGGAUUGGAAAGUUGGGUGUGAAAUCGCGGGGCUCAACCCCGGAACGGCCUCCAAAACUAGCAGUCUUGAGUUCGGGAGAGGUGAGUGGAAUUCCGAGUGUAGAGGUGAAAUUCGUAGAGAUUCGGAGGAACACCAGUGGCGAAGGCGACUCACUGGCUCGAUACUGACGCUGAAGUGCGAAAGCGUGGGGAGCAAACAGG
rnacentral:misc_RNA from 1 species